rnacentral:rRNA from 1 species
AGUGAACGCUGGCGGUAGGCCUAACACAUGCAAGUCGAACGGCAGCACAGUAAGAGCUUGCUCUUACGGGUGGCGAGUGGCGGACGGGUGAGGAAUACAUCGGAAUCUACUUUUUCGUGGGGGAUAACGUAGGGAAACUUACGCUAAUACCGCAUACGACCUACGAGUGAAAGCAGGGGAUCUUCGGACCUUGCGCGAUUGAAUGAGCCGAUGUCGGAUUAGCUAGUUGGCGGGGUAAAGGCCCACCAAGGCGACGAUCCGUAGCUGGUCUGAGAGGAUGAUCAGCCACACUGGAACUGAGACACGGUCCAGACUCCUACGGGAGGCAGCAGUGGGGAAUAUUGGACAAUGGGCGCAAGCCUGAUCCAGCCAUACCGCGUGGGUGAAGAAGGCCUUCGGGUUGUAAAGCCCUUUUGUUGGGAAAGAAAAGCAGCAGGUUAAUACCCCGCUGCUCUGACGGUACCCAAAGGAUAAGCACCGGCUAACUUCGUG